UGGCCUAAUGGUUAAGGCUAUGGAUCGCCAAUUCGGAGACGGCGGGUUCGAUUCCCGU
rnacentral:tRNA from 1 species